rnacentral:rRNA from 1 species
GUGGGGAAUAUUGGGCAAUGGGGGAAACCCUGACCCAGCAACGCCGCGUGAGGGAAGAAGGUUUUCGGAUUGUAAACCUCUGUCCUUGGUGACGAAGGAAGUGACGGUAGCCAAGGAGGAAGCCCCGGCUAACUACGUGCCAGCAGCCGCGGUAAUACGUAGGGGGCAAGCGUUGUCCGGAAUGACUGGGCGUAAAGGGCGUGUAGGCGGCCGAUUAAGUCUGGAGUGAAAGUCCUGCUUUCAAGGUGGGAAUUGCUUUGGAGACUGGUUGGCUUGAGUGCGGAAGAGGUAAGUGGAAUUCCCAGUGUAGCGGUGAAAUGCGUAGAGAUUGGGAGGAACACCAGUGGCGAAGGCGACUUACUGUGCCGUAACUGACGCUGAGGCGCGAAAGCGUGGGGAGCGAACAGGAUUAGAUACCCCUGUAGUCC